CCGAGUUUACAACUCCCAAACCCAAUGUGAACGUUACCAAACUGUUGCCUCGGCGGGAUCUCUGCCCCGGGUGCGUCGCAGCCCCGGACCAAGGCGCCCGCCGGAGGACCAACCAAAACUCUUAUUGUAUACCCCCUCGCGGGUUUUUUUAUAAUCUGAGCCUUCUCGGCGCCUCUCGUAGGCGUUUCGAAAAUGAAUCAAAACUUUCAACAACGGAUCUCUUGGUUCUGGCAUCGAUGAAGAACGCAGCGAAAUGCGAUAAGUAAUGUGAAUUGCAGAAUUCAGUGAAUCAUCGAAUCUUUGAACGCACAUUGCGCCCGCCAGUAUUCUGGCGGGCAUGCCUGUCCGAGCGUCAUUUCAACCCUCGAACCCCUCCGGGGGGUCGGCGUUGGGGAUCGGCCCUCCCUUAGCGGGUGGCCGUCUCCGAAAUACAGUGGCGGUCUCGCCGCAGCCUCUCCUGCGCAGUAGUUUGCACACUCGCAUCGGGAGCGCGGCGCGUCCACAGCCGUUAAACACCCAACUUCUGAAAUGUUGACCUCGGAUCAGGUAGGAAUACCCGCUGAACUUAAGCAUAUCAAA
rnacentral:rRNA from 1 species